UUGGGGAGAAAAAGGAAAAAAAUAAAAUCUUAAAAAAAAAAAAAAAAAAGAAAACCAAUGUUUUUUCCAAAAGCUUAGUCCCUCUGGAUCUCCCUGACCAGAUCACGGCUCCGGGGACAACACCAUGGGCAGGACUAACUCAGUUGAGGGCCUUCCCCCACAGUAAAACGAGGGCUGAUCCCAAAGACCCACUCAGCACUUACAUCUGUAAACAGCACUAAAUAAUGCGAUGUCCUUCCCCAUGAGAGACUCGGUGUUUCUCCCACACGCCCUCCUCUAUUUCAGCCCCUGCCUCAUCGUGCUGUCUUAUCUCCCUGAGAAAGCUCAUGUUCAGUUGUCAUGUGGCCUCAGGGCCUGGCACGGGGCAGGCAUCCAAUAAAUGUUUGCUCAGUUAAUAAACUCCACCUCCCAUCUCACCACCAUUAGCUCGUAAGCACUCAUCAGUCUUUCCAGACUGAUCUCUCCAAUGACAGGCACCUGUAUCCCCAGGAGUGUUAACAGAUUACUUAGGAGCUAGCCGCUGUCAUAAUCAGCACACCUCCCAAGUACAUGCCAUGCCAACCCCACCCUACACCUAUUUCUCCUUCCCACCCUUCAACAAAACUUCCAGACCUGACUAUGUGCUAGGCACUCAUACACCGGGAAGUCAGCAACCCAGUGGCCAGGAUGGGAAGGCCCUGCUCAAGCUGGCCUGCGUCUGAGAUUCCGAGGUACCCUAGUUCCUGACUCACCCUCCUUGCCGCCCUCUCCUAACCUGAAAUGAAUCCAGAUUUAUUAUUCCUAGGCAUGUGCACCUUUGGUGUUGACCCCCUCCCUAUAAUGAAAAGUUCUAUCGUGUGCCAUACAAAAAUCCCAAGUUUGGGGAGAGAGGUGGCCCAGGACAGGAGGGAGGAAAGAGACCUGUAAGAUGGAAGGGAGCUGCCACCCCUGAGGUGAACCCACACUGGCUGGGUGGGGGUUGCCGGUUGAAGGAGGGACAAAGGAACUAUUCACCAUCCCUGUGCCCAGAAGGUCCCUGAUUCAGUGGGCAUACGUGCCAGAAGCCAGCUCUGAGGGAGAGGUGUCAGGGGCAAAAGGUCUACCAUCACACAGGUCCAUGUGCCCAGGGCUCUGAACUGGACCUUCCAUUCCUGGCCAUAAGAGAGCCCCUUCAUUUGUGAGCAGGCAGGCAAACAAGAUGACCCAAUAUUUAAGCCUGAAAAAAAAUAGUUUAGAAGUAUAGGGCUUUCUAUCAAAUGUGAAAGUCAAAUGGUAACACAGAUGCCAAAGAAAAGAAUCUAAAAAAAUUAUAAUUUUUAAUUCAAAAUACAUAUUUAGUAUCUCUCAACACAUAUACCCAAUCCAUUAGCACAAGCAUUUUUGAAUAUGCAAAAGGGUAUACGAGACGUGGCAAGGAGGAGAUGUGACAUUCUGAAGCGCUACUUAAAGUGUGACUCCACCGGCGAAAGUUCGGCAUGCGUGCAACCUUCUAAGACCAUACCUGCCUAGCAAAACGAAAUAGGAUAAGUAAAUGAAAACCAGUAAAGGGACAGCACAUUCACAGGGGCUGUGCUGGUGGCAAGGGUUUGGCAAAGACCCUGAACACCCUGCAGACUGAGCUCCCAGCCAAGCUUCCACGCCCACUAGCUCUGGACCCUGGCAAUGUGUGACACCUCUACGCCUCGUCUUCACCAGUAAGAUAAGGACAGAAGCGACACUCGUGGGGCCAUUACAAGGGUCCAACUGAGGAAUGACAGUGCACAGCAAGCACCCAAAUGACGGCCUUCAUUGUGUUUACUGCUGUUAUUACAGCAUCUCCUUGUUUUCUUUUCUGGUUGAGGACAACGCAGGAUCAAGUGGAGAAAGGAACAGGGAGUGUUUUUUCAACAGAGAUGUGCAAAUAUCUGUUCUUAUGUUUUUUCCCUAAAAUGUCCCUGGGGGGCAGGCCUCACCUCACCCCUGCUAUCUGCGUCAGAAGCGUCUACAACAAGAGGGCCCCUCUGAAUGGUCACAGAGAGAAUGCUGCAUCAAUGCAAACUGGGCCUUCACGUAGGGAGCGAAAAAGGAGCCCCACUGUCCCAGCAAAGAUGGACAGAAAGCCCCAUGGGGUCACACGCUGCUUUGGAGAAGGCAGACACCGGUCAUGAAGACGGUGGGCCCAUGGAGGUCUGGGCUUCAUUCUACACGCCCCCCAGUACAGGGCAGCGGGCUCAGUUGGAGAGGAGGCCCCUCGGCCGGCCUGACCACAGUCCAGGGCCCAGCAGUGCACUGCAGCACGUGCCAGGAAAGCAGCGUCCUCUGCACAGCGUGCCUGCCCCCCGGACAGACACGACAACGGAACAGAGAGGGAGCACUGGAGACAGAAGGACAGGGUCUAAAAAGAGAGCGUGCCAUAUGGGGAAACGCAGUCAGAAACCUGGUAGGGAGUUGGUACUUUGGUUCCGAGGCCCUUUUAUUUCACGGCUCUCUAUUCUAAAACCGAAGGCUCGCACCUGAGUGACUCUCUAGUCAGGAAAGGGGGUUUUCUCCAUGUUCUUGAGAAAAGUGAUGAAAGUAGAAAAAUUUUAAUAAGAAGCAACGAAGAUGCCAAUUUCUGGGAAACAAACUGGGAGACACUUUACCUCAUGUUCUUGUCCUUCCCAGGACACGAGGGGGCCCCAUCCAGCCCAGGGGACAGAGUCCGGUCUCCACACCCACUCACACACCAUGUGUAUGAUGCACACCUGCUUCUCCUUGGCUCUCCAGGGCACAGACCCCUCCUCAUUUCCCACGGUCUCUCCCGGCUUUCCUCCCAUUAGCAGCCUUUUAACAAACUGUCUCUAUUUGCUAAUUAUUCUCCCACUAAUCUGUUGUGAGUUGUUCUACAUUUUCGGUUCUAAAUACUUGGAAGCUUAUGAUAUACAAAAACGAAUCCAAGUUUAUUUUGGGUGGCUGGCACCACAAUCACUGUAGAAGUUUCCAUAUUACGUGGGCAAUACAUUUGGUAGGUCACUUCUAUUGUGAACAAUCUUGUAAGGCAGAAUUCUAGAGAAUUCUAAAUUCUGAUACGUCAUACUUGAGUCAUAUCACAACAGAGACUGAAGCAGUAGGCCCGCGGUGGCAGGAACCACUCUGAGAACCCAGAGUCCCUGCUUCAAUGCCGUGAAGAGGAGGAGGCAACAAGAGCUUCUUCAAAUGGCAGCUCAGUUUCGUCACUUCAGAAAGGAGAAUUCCUGAAGUUAUUUUCUCACAUAACCUGAAGCAGUAACUACUGCAGGAACUCACCAUCCCAAGCUGGAAUCUCCAAAGCAGAGAACACAAGGCAUGGAGAGAAAGUAUUGGCACUCCUUUUCUGAGGCACACCAGUGACAUGAGAAGGCAGAGGCAAGAGGUCCCUGGGACCACCACCAACCCUGCCCGCAGUGUCCUGGGACUACCAGACAUGUUACUGUGGAAGUCAGCUCCCCAGUUUUCCAUCUACCUCCUUCAGAUCUGCACACACGGCGGGUAGGUCUGUAAAGUAACCCUCAUUACUGCUAGAGCAGUUUCUUUUUCAACUUUAUUGAGGUAUACUUAACAUACUGAAAGUUGCACAUAUUUAAUGUAUACAAUUUGAUGAGUUAGGACACCUUGAUAUCAUCACCACUAACAAGGUAAUAAACAUGUCCCUCACCUCCAAAAGAUGUGCCCGCUCCAGGUCUAGUUAGCUAAAAGCUACACACACAGUAAGGAUAUACUCUUUGUGUCUCUGGAGGCGGGAGGCCAAGGAAAAACACUUUACCUUUCCUAAUUUUGGACCCGCACAUGCAGUAACAGUCUCAUUUACAGCUGUGCGGCCUGUUUCCUAGUAUAUGGCUCUGUCCCAUCUAUGUCAUCUACGUGUCUGGUCCAGGGACUCUGAAAGCAGGACAAAGAGCACUGCGAGGUGAGUGCAUCCAUAAUCCAGCCCGCAGACAUGAGUCACGGGUCACCCUCCACCCUGUGCCGUAUUUGGCAAGUAAAGUAACCUCUCCUGGCUCAUUUCUUUCUUUUAUAAAAUGGGAGUUGGGAGGCGGAGAAUACCCACAUCACCAGAUCUGAAAGAGAAUUUGUGAAAAUUCCUUUGUAACCUGUAAGGUACAACUCAGAGAACAGUGGAGAAAUAACUGGAAUGUUAUGAAUUCAGCUUCUGCAAUCUGUCAGAGGGAAAAGACGGUGGGGGGGAUUUGCUUUUCUGUAUGUUUAAUUUUUUUCUCCAGCUUUCUAGAAGCCACACUGCUAGGGCACGUCAGCUAAGGUAGAAAAGAAAAAUGAUUGACCAAACUUUGAUCAUCACCUCAAGGAUCAGAAAAUGAUUUCAUUGACUACAUAAAGAAACGUUACAUCACAAUUCUAUGAAGCUCUGCUCUGCACACACGUGCUAUGGCCAUGGAUCACGGGGACAACCACACCAUACAUCUUACAGGAGGUGUAUACGGUCCUCUUGCCUGUACAAGUAACUUCUCCUUCAAAGGUCUGUUUCGUAAGUUGGGAAUCACCAAUAAAUACCAGGUGCCUUUGAACACGGUUCAGGAACAGCACAAGUGGAAGUUCGGGGCCUGUUCCCGGCCUCAACUCGGCCCUGAGCUGACGAGCUGACCCUGGGACUUCAGAAGGUACUGAGGCCCUCCAGGGGAUUUGGGUUCCUGUCUCCUGCCCCUCCAACCCUUCCCAAAGCCUUCCAUCAUGCUGCUUUCCUUAAGUUUCCAAAAGGGACUUGUGUCCAAUCUAUACUUGGCUGCUGGAAAUUUUGCUAGGGGAAAAAUAAAUAAAUAAAAUUCAUGGUCCAAUAAGAGUAAAAGGCUUUGGGUCAGGAAGAUGUCAGCUCACAGCCUGCUCUGCUCUGAUAAGCACCGGGCUUUGGCCCAGCUGUUUAAUCUCUCAGAGUGUUCAGUGGUUCCUGGUUCAAGGUAAGCACUCAGAUAACAGGUUGUUACAUGU